rnacentral:rRNA from 1 species
UACGUAGGGGGCAAGCGUUGUCCGGAUUUAUUGGGCGUAAAGAGCUCGUAGGUGGCUUGGUAAGUCGGAUGUGAAAUCUCCAGGCUCAACCUGGAGGGGUCAUUCGAUACUGCCAUGACUAGAGGUCGGUAGGGGAGUGUGGAAUUCCUGGUGGAGCGGUGAAAUGCGCAGAUAUCAGGAGGAACACCCGUAGCGAAGGCGGCACUCUGGGCUGAUUCUGACACUGAGGAGCGAAAGCGUGGGGAGCGAACAGG